AAUUGAAGAUUUCUUCUUGAAAAUUUUCAAAAUUUGAAAUUUGAAAAAUUUUGAAAAAAAAAGAAAUCCCUUAAAAAAUUGUUUACAAAUCCCCCCCCCCCCCAUUUAUUGAAACCCCCUUUAAGGAAUAACCCUUAAACACAAUCCCAUCCUUUCCUUUUAAGUAUAGAACCUUGUAGUACAAUUACAGAGAGAUCCAUAUAC
rnacentral:lncRNA from 1 species